ensembl:lncRNA
AUGAAAUCCUUCCCGGGAUGGUUGGAGGCAGCGCCUGCUCCCAGCACCGCUCAGGGAAGCCUUAAUGAAAAGCAGCUCAUCAGCAGUUACGUAACCUAAUGAUAAUCCAGCUCAGGCCGGGCAAUGCUUAAAGCCACAGCGUCUCUCUGCUGUGACCUAUUUUAUGCUCGAUGCAAGGGCAAAAGUAUGCAGUGUGUAACUUCGCCGGGUCUCUUACGUCGAGUCGUUGCCUGUCGUAGGGUAAAUACACCGUUCCUCAUCACGCCGGACAAGUUAAUGACACAGCUGGUUGCAGAAAGGAGCUUGUAACGUUGCGCCGAGCUGAAGAAACACCGCCUGUUAUGUGUAGCACGGAAGAGGAAUGAGGAUCCACUGCAUGAUUCCAUGAGUCUACAAUUCUAUGAUUCAACAUUUUUCUUUGCUUUGGUUGCUUUUCUUCCCCAUUUAUGCAUAUGGAACAACUUUCCCUGUUGGUCAGCUGCUGUGGCUGCAGAUAGGAGCAAGAAGGGAGCUGGAGCAGAGCAAGGGCAGGGAAAAUUGGUCCAAUUCAGUGACAGUUCCAGCCUCAAACACGGGUAGCUCUGUGUGUCUCCUGCUAUCAGUCUGUGCUACUCCUGCAGCAAGCUGGAUCCAUGACAUUGCCAGUGCUUUGGGGUGCUGGCAUCCGGGCUCUGAGCUCAUGAGGGUCCUAUGUGAGGUUAGAGAAUCACACUAUCAUGAAAUGAUGGAAUCAUUAGGGGUUAGGAGGGACCUCUGGAGAUCAUCAACCCCCUGCUAAAGCAGGUUCUCUGCAGUCAGUACAAAUGGCAAUAACCUGACUUGGAGAGGUUGCCUGUGCUCUGGCUGGCUGAAAAUUACUACGAAGAAGAUUUACAGUGGAGCACUGUCGUUGGAGUGACCAGAGAUGUGAAAGGAGAAUCAACAUGCCCAUUAAAACUGAAUGAAUGUAAAAUCCCACAGCAGAGUGGAAACUGAAACUGGGAAUGGGAAGUGCUCAGAUUGUGUCUCUGUCCUUUUGGUAUACGGGAUCCUCCCCGAGCAAGCAGCAACCUGUCGUUUCAGCAAUGCAAGGCUUCCCCUCAGUGGCAACAAGGCAGCAGGGUGUCCUGCUGCUACACCACAAUAAAAGCAUUUUGCUUUUUUUUUUUUUUUUCUUCAAAGGCAAAGUCCAGUAAAAAUGUGGCUCUGAAGUAAAGGAAAUAUUUACAGCAGAGGCCGCUGGCUGGGCUGGGUGUAAUGGUAUACAGCAAUACAAGAGGCCAAAGUGAUACUACUUUAUGAGCCAAGAGUUUUUAACUCUUUUGGUAUAGGAGACAGCUGCCUACACGAGGCACUUAGGGAACAAAUGAAACUUGAGCAGUGUCAUACUGGGAUCAUAGAAUAUGGACAAAAGCAACAGAAAGGAGUAUAUUUUUUUACAAGAAAAGGAUUAACUGGAGAACAGUGGUUGCAGUGCUAAAGCUCCUACCCAAGUGCAGCUGGCGAGAUUGCUGACAGCGCAGGGGGCUCUCCCAGAAAUGAGUUCUUCCUGCAAAAAUACCCAUCCCCAUCAACAUCUAUUAUCUAAAAGGUGAUGUCCAGGUUGAUUUAAUUUCCAGUCCUGGAAAUGAAAUGGGACCAUGGUAUUAGGAGACAUGUGAGCUCAGAUUAUGCAUACAAAAAAGACGACAGCCAAAUUGUCUAUGUAUGGGCAGACUGCAUUUGCCUUACCCCAAAAGAUUUACCAGUUGCUAUGGUUACUCAAUAUUACAGCUCAAUAGAUUGGUAAUGUGAACUGAUAGAUCUAGAAAUACACUGCAAGAUGGAAUUAAAGAGGCCCUGCUGAAACACAGCCUGAAAAAUCCUGUGCUCCUGAUGAGGCGGAAACACUUUGCUGCUGACGGGCUGGUCAUGGUUCCCAGAUGCGUGGCAGGGGUCCCACCAAAUAGCAGUGAGAUGUGUGCUUGGUGUCUUGUGCAGCCAGAGGUGUAAAACACACGUCAAAGGGAUAAUAAAACACAGUCCAAACUGUCUCACAUGGAAUCUCUUGAGUAAAUCAUGGCCGAGUCUCAGCAAGUACAGG